AGUGAACGCUGGCGGUAGGCCUAACACAUGCAAGUCGAACGGCAGCACAGUAAGAGCUUGCUCUUACGGGUGGCGAGUGGCGGACGGGUGAGGAAUACAUCGGAAUCUACUUUUUCGUGGGGGAUCACGUAGGGAAACUUACGCUAAUACCGCAUACGACCUACGGGUGAAAGCAGGGGAUCUUCGGACCUUGCGCGAUUGAAUGAGCCGAUGUCGGAUUAGCUAGUUGGCGGGGUAAAGGCCCACCCAGGCGACGAUCCGUAGCUGGUCUGAGAGGAUGGUCAGCCACACUGGAACGGAGACACGGUCCAGACUCCUACGGGAGGCAGCAGUGGGGAAUAUUGGACAGUGGGCGCAAGCCUGAUCCAGCCAUACCGCGUGGGUGAAGAAGGCCUUCGGGUUGUAAAGCCCUUUUGUUGGGAAAGAAAAGCAGCAGGUUAAUACCCCGCUGUUCUGACGGUAACCAAAGAAUAAGCACCGGCUAACUUCGUG
rnacentral:rRNA from 1 species